CCAAUCUAAUUCACUCAAACUGUAAACUCUCUCUCUCUCUCGUCUUCCUCCCAAAUCCCAGCGGCGCCCAACGCACCAAAACCCUAACUUACUCUCUCGUCCUCCCCCAAAUGCCAGUCCGCUGCGCCUUCCGCCAUUUCGCUGCGCCCCCAGCUCCAGCCCUAGCUUUAGUUCGACUCUGUUCCUGUCGUCUUAAGACUCAUCCUUCUCUCCAGAUUCAGCACGACGCUCUGACUUCGGCUCGUCUAAGGGCGACGAAUUGUUGUUGUCACUCUUCAUUUUAGCUUCAACCGGAGCUUCUGUUGUUCCGAGAAAAAUCAAUAAUGGCUACCACUUGAUUUUCAUCCAGGAGUCCUCCAAUGGCGGCCUCGUCGACCUCCUGCAGCUCAAGCAGAAGAACAACAUCUACGGCGCGGAUAUUCCCAUCCCGCAACUCUCCGUCAAGCACGAAACUGGUAGCCGUUUGAGAGUCCACAUCACCGACGCAGAGAAGCAUAGAUGGGAGGUUCUGUGGCGGUGCCGCUCUUCAAUCUCUAUCCCGAUUUGGUUGUCUCAAGACUCUGCGUAGGUCAAUCUUCUCUCUCUCUCCCUCUCUCUCUAUACAACCUUCUUUCUCUCUCUACAACAUGGUUUCUCGUUAUUCUCAGGGACCAUGACGUUGGGCGAGCAGUUGUAGAGAGUUGAGAUUUUUUUUAAUUGAAAUUUGUGUUUUAUUGAUUAGGAUCUAGAUACAAGUUGGCAACUUCUGUUAGUUUAUGUUUCUGGCAGUGAUUGGCGUGAUUCUUAUUGAUGAUAAUCUCUGAACUGCUAUAUGCGAAGUUUUGCUCUGAAUCUUUGGAUUGCUAUUUUACAGAUGGAAUAAAGAUUUCUCACAGAUGAAAAAUGAGAUGUAUUACCAAAUGUGACAGAUUUUUCCAUUGCCUUAAUGCCUUUUGCAAAAUUUACUAUCAUAUUCUAAACUACUAUGAAGAAAACAGGAUAAACAUCAAAAUCAAAUCAGUAGGAAGCCAAGAAUCCACUGUAUUCUAUUUUGAGCCUUCAUUGUCAUAGAUGCUUCUGAUAGCUUUCUGGGUUGAAACUUUGGGUGUAGCUGAAAUUGGUAUAUUAGCUUGAAAUUAUUUUUUGUGGAUGAUAAAAUUAUGCUCUGUUUUCUGGUUGCAGAUUGAGAUUGAAGUUUCAUGUGAGAGAUACAGGUGGAUAGACAUGCGUAACUUUUUUUUAUUGAGAAUUAGUCUUUAAUAAUUCGUAGCUAAAACAUGAGGUCUUUUGUUAAAGACUUUGAGGUUUAACUUGCUAAAUUCCUUUUGCCCUGAAUUCCUUUUAGUUUAUUCUAAUAUGAGUGCUAGUUUGCACAUUAUCCACAUUUAUGCUUCUGCUAAUUUAUUUAAUUAUAUGCAUGCUUAGAUUGAUCCAGAAUUCACAUUUAUAUAUGGUGUUUCUCUCAUGCCUUUUUUACCUUUUCUUUUACUAUUUGUGAUCCGAGAUUCCGAAGAUGAUUCCAUGUAAGUGUCAGUUGUUAAGUGAAGUAUUUUUCCGUUAUCCCUGUUUUAAUUAAGGGUUUUUAGUUUUUAUCUAUAUAAUAUGCAGAAGACAGACUGCUACAUGUAAAAGCGGAGGUUAUGCCAAUGAUUCAAAGAGUGGUGUCAAGAAUUUGGAGAAGGGAAAAAAGUAAUCCUAUGUUUGUAUUCUUAAAGCUUGGUGCAUGUUGCAGUGAGUUCCAGAGUUGAAAGAAAAGUUUUGGUUGAUAUUGGCAAUGGGAACUGCAUAUUUUCAAAAACUGAACAGGGAAAAAGCUCUAUAUCUGGGAAAGGAAAAAGUGAUAAGGUGUUAUAUUACAUCAAGAGGAACCCCUAUCUUGUUUUUCAGUUUAACAAAGAGGAAGAUGAUAAAAUGACAACUGCAAAUGUUGCUGCUGUUCGAGCUGCUACUAGAGUGGGUGAUAUUACAUCAAGAUAGCAAUUUUGUUUUUGUUUUUUUUUUGACAUACGACUGAUAGAACAUGUGUUUCUGUUAAUUCUAUAUGGAUGGUGAUUGUAUGAAUAUUUUGAAUGGUAUAUGACAUGAUUUAUAGAUGAUUUUAUUA